rnacentral:lncRNA from 1 species
CACUGGGCGCUCGUUCAACGUGUCUUGGCAAGGUCAGCUGUCUGUACCUCACCUCCUCACCACUGGGGUGCCCCAAGGCUCGGUGAUGGGACCACUUCUCUUUGCCAUUUACACCACCUCGUUGGGCCCUAUCAUCCGCUCGCAUGGGUUUUCCUAUCACUGUUAUGCCGAUGAUACUCAACUGUUUCUGUCUUUCCCUCCUGAGGACACCACUGUCUCAGCGCGGAUCUCGGACUGUCUUGCUGAUAUAUCCACAUGGAUGAAAAAUCACCACCUUCAGCUGAACCUGGCCAAAACGGAGCUGAUGGUCUUCCCAGCCAAACAGGUCAUCCACCAUAACAUCCAUAUCAAUAUUGACUCUUUAUCUCUUGUUCCAUCCAAAACAGCAAGAAACCUGGGGGUCAUUAUUGAUGACCAACUGACCUUCACGGCCCACAUCGCCUCUGUCUCCAGGUCGUGCCGCUUUGCGCUAUACAACAUCCGCAAAAUCAGGCCGUACCUAACCCAGUAUGCCACCCAGCUGCUGGUGCAAACCUUGGUGAGUUCCCGCCUUGACUACUGCAACGCCCUUCUAACGGGCCUGCCGGCUUGCGUGGUGAAACCAUUACAGAUGAUCCAGAACGCGGCGGCGCGCCUGGUGUUCAACCAACCGAAAAGGGCACACGUCACCCCGCUACUCAUUGAGCUCCACUGGCUGCCGGUAGCUGCUCGCAUUAAGUUCAAGUCACUUAUGCUUGCCUACAGAGUGCUUGCUGGUUCUGCUCCCACCUACCUAAAUGCUCUUGUAAGGGCAAAUGUUACACCCAGGACGCUGCGCUCGUCUAGUGAGCGUCGUUUGGCACUGCCGUCUGUGCAAGCACGGCAAUCCAAACUAUUCUCAUUUGUAGUUCCACGUUGGUGGAACGAACUGCCUAGUACUACCAGAGCAGGGGCGUCCCUCUCUACCUUCAAGAAGCUUUUGAAGACCCAACUCUUCAGAGAGCACCUCCCUUCCUAACUGGCGCCUUGACUAGCGCUUAACUUGCACUUCAGCAGCUACAUUCCUGCACUUCUUUUUUCUUUCUAGGUCGUUUUUCUAAUUCUUAUGUAAAGUAGUAUUUAUUGUUACACCAUGUUUUUUAUUGCUCUUAGCUUGACUGUUCUCUCCAUUGUACGUCGCUUUGGACAAAAGCAUCUGCUAAAUGACUAAAUGUAAAUGUAAAUGUAAAUGUAAAUGUACUUAAGGUUCCCUACAGGUGCCUUUCUGAUGAAAAAUACUCAUGAUGUGCCCUCUUACAUACCUUUCA